CCUUUGGGCCCAACCUCCCAUCCGUGUCUAUUGUACCCUGUUGCUUCGGCGGGCCCGCCGCUUGUCGGCCGCCGGGGGGGCGCCUCUGCCCCCCGGGCCCGUGCCCGCCGGAGACCCCAACACGAACACUGUCUGAAAGCGUGCAGUCUGAGUUGAUUGAAUGCAAUCAGUUAAAACUUUCAACAAUGGAUCUCUUGGUUCCGGCAUCGAUGAAGAACGCAGCGAAAUGCGAUAACUAAUGUGAAUUGCAGAAUUCAGUGAAUCAUCGAGUCUUUGAACGCACAUUGCGCCCCCUGGUAUUCCGGGGGGCAUGCCGUCCGAGCGUCAUUGCUGCCCUCAAGCCCGGCUUGGGUGUUGGGUCGCCCUCCCCCUCUCCGGGGGGACGGGCCCGAAAGGGAGCGGCGGCACCGCGUCCGAUCCUCGAGCGUAUGGGGCUUUGUCACAUGCUCUGUAGGAUUGGCGGCCUGCCGACGUUUUCCAACCAUUCUUUCCAGGUGACCUCGGAUCAGGUAUGGAUACCCGC
rnacentral:rRNA from 1 species